AAAGGGGGAAAAAAAAAAAGAGGGGGAGAUAUAAGAAGAAAAAAGUUUAAAAUAGAAGUAUGGAGAAGGCAUUUUCAUACAACACAGACCCAGGAACUUAAAAAUGUAUCAUGAGGUGACAGGAUGCACUUCCAAUAUCAAUCCUGAUUUCCAUCUCUCAGUCCAGAUGACAGGAAGCACCGAAGUUUGCAUUGGCAACAGACACCCAAUUUACUGAAAUAAAGGAGAUACAACCACCCUUCCAUGCUUGUUUUUCCCUUCUUCCUGCAGUUCUUGCAAGUCCCAGAUGAAGUACAAACUCACAAGGUAAUGCUUCCAGGGACCAGAGUGACUGGUAUGAACAGAGAUCCCUGCAGUGAGGAAUAGCAGGGACAACCAUCCCUCCUGAUGUAUCUGUUCCAAAAUGUUAGACUUCACCAUCCUCAAGUUUUCUGUGGUAUGAUACACCCGAACUCAAUAUUGACCUGUCUUCUGUAAAGGGAGCAAUUCUUGACAUAAAUACUCUCUUGAUAUUUUAUCUUCCCACCUCUGUAAUUAAAGUUUUAAACUAACUUAUUUUAUCAUCCUGCAGCACAGGAAGAAGUCAGGAACAGAUACAGGACAAUUACAAUAGAGAGGCAACUACACUUUAAAUGACUAGAAAAGUGUUGUCAAGAGGAAUAGCAGGUUGCCAGCAUGACACCACUGCUCAGGCUUCAUUCUGCUUGAGACAAUAGAACAGUCAGCACCUUUCACCUGGAUAAGCAACUGAGACACUUGCUACACACAUCACUUACAGCAGGUGAAUCACUUAAAUCUUCAUAUAAAGCUCCCUACUCCUGUGGGAAGUGCUACAAAGAAACCAGCUUCGUUCCCCUGGGGCAGCCUGGCGGGAGGAAGGAUCCCACUGCACCUUGGCAGACAGUCCCACAGCUGAGAUGGCCUCAUCCUUCUCUCCCCAAGCAGCUUUCUGAAACCACUCACUGAAACCCUAAAUUGAAACCGUUAACUCUAGAAACAUUCCACCAUCUUUCCUGGCACCACCAUCUGUUGUGCAGUGGAUGUAAGGUUUAUGAGAACAAGACACAAUGAAAUGACCCCGGUGCCAUGGCAAAGUGACCCCACACAGA